AAAAUAAGCAUAGAUAUUUAAUUGAUGAGACAUUAAAAAGUUGACAUAGUCUGGAUCAUAAAACUAGAACAGCUGAUAUUACACGCAGAAAAUGUUUUCACAUUAUAACAAUUAUAAUUAUAAAAGAGUCAACGAACCUAACUUCACCUAUAAGGGUUUUACUUUUGAAGACUAGCAACAAAUUCAUUUCCUCUAAACCUAUAUCCUAAAGCACGAUAGAAAAAAAGAAAAUGAUAUUCUAUAAGACUGCAGAUAUAGUUGUCUCUAACAUGAAUAUGUUUUUCUUUCUCACUAAGAAUAAUUACAAACAAGAUAACGAAUUCAAAGCAAUCAGAUUAAAAUCUUGCAUAGGCUUAGCUUAUAUAGAAAGAAACACAAAGCAAUCAUAAAAACAAUGGAAAACACCUAUUGCACAUAAACAGAAAGAAACAUUCUACGUUCUUCAAGUGAAGAAUAACAAAGAAUAGCAUACAGAAAAAAG
rnacentral:misc_RNA from 1 species